UAAAAGUUUUCUCCUGUUUCACAUGUUCCAUAGCAACAUUUAGUUACUUUGUUAACUUUUCAGUGAUAACUGCAUAUUGAUCAGCUUCCAUAGGAUGAAAUUUAUGUAGGUGGAUGGGUAUUAGUGGAAGAGUACACUCGUUUAUGUUGUCUCUAGUCGCUGUUAACACCGCUAUAUGGAUUUCAACGCCUUGAUGCAUUCUAAGAUUAUUAUGGGAGUAGAAACUGGACAGUAAUCUGAAUGUUUCUAUUUUUAGAAUAGAUCUGUAAUAGCAUGUUUCAUUAACAAAGUCACCCAGACUGUUUAGUUGACAACUCUUUCCUAACCUUUGCUAAAACAAGUUUGCAUGUUUUACUUACAAGCUAUAACUGCCCGUCUUAUGGUUUCCCAGAGGCGUGCUGUCUAUGAUGCAUUAUUACGGUGUGCAAGGCCUGCAAGGUUAUGGGAUCUCUAUGCAUUUGCCGGUGGCCAUUCCAGGUUUAGUAACACGAAUCCCAAAGUAAGGCUGUUGAAUGAGUACUGCCGACUUCUUGGAAUGGGGUUCUGUCAAGCUUCUAUCCGUGCUAUUGAAGAUGGGUCAUUCACCCUCUCAAACGAAUAUUGGAGAAUAAGCAGUGUUAACUCUAAUUACACAAUGUCUCCAACUUAUCCAUUUGCUUUACUCUUACCAAAGUCCAUAAGGUGAGGUGAUGCCUCUCAAAUGAGUAUUGGAGAAUAAGCAGUGUUAACUCUAAUUACACAAUGUCUCCAACUUAUCCAUUUGCUUUACUCUUACCAAAGUCCAUAAGGUGAGGUGAUGUUUUUUGCUCUUCCAUUUUUUCUGGGUUAAGUGAUGAUUAUUUUGGCAUUUACCUAAUGACUUUUCAUACAUAGUG
rnacentral:lncRNA from 1 species